CGCGGGGUAGCCAAGAGGAAAGGCAGCGGCCUCAUACGCCGCCCAUGCGCCGGUUCGAUCCCGGCCCCCGCCAUCCA
rnacentral:tRNA from 1 species